rnacentral:lncRNA from 1 species
CGAAGUAAAAGAUUAUUAAUUCGGUAUUAGUUAUAAAUCGUGACGGCUACGAAUAACAUAGUGAACAAUGCUGAUUAUGUUAGAUUUAUCUUGGUGCGGAGUUUCUAGUGCGGUCCUUUCAUCCACGAGGGCAUAAUACUACUGCAGCCAUGGUUUAGAAGUGAUCAACAGCGGAAAUACCAAAAAGAUUCCUCAAUUGAACACGAAUGCCAAUACCCUUACAUCUUUUCGGGAAUCGGGAAAAAAUCGAUGAUGAGCCCUGAGGAAAUUCCAUGAAAUUGGUGAAACAAUGACGCGGUUAGGACACCUAAGGAAGACGGAGAAUUCAAUGGCUAAUGGUCCUAUAGGCUCUCACAGGAUUAGUUCUUGGAAUUAUUCGGUAUAUGUGGGAUCUAUCUUAAAACUUCUAAGAAAGCCACAACUGGAUGUUUGGUAAGUU